rnacentral:rRNA from 1 species
UACGUAGGGGGCAAGCGUUGUCCGGAAUCAUUGGGCGUAAAGCGCGUGUAGGCGGCUCGAUAAGUCUGCUGUGAAAGUCCAGGGCUCAAUCCUGGGAUGCCGGUGGAACUGCAGCUAGAGUCCGGAAGAGGCGAGUGGAAUUCCUGGUGUAGCGGUGAAAUGCGCAGAUAUCAGGAGGAACACCAUAGCGAAGGCAGCUCGCUGGGACGGUACUGACGCUGAGACGCGAAGGCGUGGGAGGCAACGGAU